rnacentral:lncRNA from 1 species
CACUCCCUUCUUAUAGAGGUGGUACGAGGUUUAUACGUCCUUAUCCUUCAUGAGCUGGCAAAUCUAUUCAGAAUCAUUCCGUUAGAGAGGAAUUUUUGGGCUGGAUAUUUUUGGGCUGGAUUUGGUGGGGACCAAGGUAUGUGAAUCAUUUCCUCAAUUUGUCUGUAGCGAAAUCCACCAAAAAGUGUGGUCCUGUAUUAGCUCUAUUUUACUGAUGUGGAAUACUCAUGUAUUGUGGUUAAAAAUCCUAUUUUUUACCGUCCUGUCUUGAACUUGCAUUGUGUAUUGUUUAUUGUUGCAUUUGUUGUUCACAGAAUAUUAAAAUCGCAACUUUAGUGAAACAAUUACUUGCAUUUGUCUUUUAAGUUGCUACUGUGUACAUGCUAAUCUGAUUUUCUUUAACAAUUUCACCCAUAAAUUUUUAGCAGGGCAUCCUCCUUUGAAGUUGAGUGCAUGACACUAGAAAGGGGGAUAUACUCUUAGUCCAAAAUCUGCGACACUAUGGCGGUAACAGGCUGAGAUUCAUCAUACAAGAUUACGUUCGCGUGCAAAGAUUGGUACGUGUAGUCUCAGAAAACAGGAAGUUGUAGCUUGAUUGUUGAGGAUACAGUCCUUCCUAUCCAUUUGCUUUACUAUCUUAAUAAUCUUGUUGCAUAUGAAUCCUUGGCAAUCCAGCAUCCAGAGAGCCCGCUUUCCAGGUUCGGUACCUUCAGAGCUGCAUACUUGGAACCAGAAUAACUCAGCAUUGGACCAAAGUUUACGGCCACCCGUUAUCUUCCGCACUCCUUUUUCCUUCAUCUUACUUCUCACCAGGGAGACAUCUUUCCUUUAAUCAACUGAUGCAUAAAUGUAGACAACAAUGCAUAGUUUGAGGCUUGAGUUCAAAAAGACAUUUGUAUUGGUUUUGGUCAGUAAUACCAAUUUUUAUGGUUUUAUCCAAACAAUAUGCUUUAUGACUUUGUAGUGAAUGGUGUAAUGCCUGCUUCUUUCUGUUAUGUAAAUUCAUUUCUUCUGUUUUGUUCAUUGGUUUUAUAUUAAUCCUGUAACCGUACCAUGGUCUGUCAUGUGUUGUUGUAGGUCCAAGGUUUGGAAUUGUUUUAACCAUGCUACCGAUUAUGACUAAAAGGCAUUUGGCGUGUUUGUGAUAUGCAGGUACAGGGAUAAUUUAGAAAACCAUUUUCUCGCUUGGAAGUAGCAUUAGAUCAAACACAUACCAUAGCUGUCGACACACAUUAUCAAGCUUGGAGAUCACUUCUUGUAAUACGGUCGGUCUGUUCGUGCACGGGACUUAAGUGUGGUUUGUGUUUUGGUGAGGUAAGCUGCACUUGGUUCAUUUUUGGAUUGUGGAGGUAUUCAUUCAACUUAUGUUAUGUCAUGGUUUUAUCUGGUCAUGGAUAACUUGGUGUAGUGAUAAUGAUAUCAUGCUAGGCGUUCUUUGCCGGUUCAAUAUAACACAAUGAGUUUGGCCAAGGCUUGGAGAAAAAAAUGCAAAGCAAAUUAUCCUGAACUCGGGUGAUGAAACAUGGACAAUUGAGGUUUUGCUGUAAGUUGAACAUGGCUGCAACUUGCCGCCACCGCGACAUCAUUAUUCACAGUUGGCUUGGUUUUGCAGUUUGGAUUUGGACGGCUUGGCUAGUGGCGUUCCGAAUUUGUACUGCAUUAAAUCACCAGUUUGUUGUGCUCUGGAACUUCUUGAGCUUUCUGUAAUUACUUAGGCUUUUUAUUUGGAAUGCUGAAUUUUGAGUAGUUUGUAGCCUUAUGUCUGCUGCAUUCCUGGCUUUCCCGUCCAACUACCCUUUUUAUGUUCUAUAUGUUUUGGAUAUGUAUGCUGGCGGGAUAUGUAGACUGGAUAACGUUUUUAAUGGAAAAUUGGGUCAUGGAUGUUAGCAAAAGUGAUUAUGAAAAUGGAUUAUGGAUGUUAGUGGA